UGAACGACUAAAGAUACGGGGAUCAGUGC
rnacentral:sRNA from 1 species